AGGACAAACGCUGGCGGCGUACUUAAGACAUGCAAGUCGAACGGGCGCUUCACCUUCGGGUGGGUGUGCUAGUGGCGGACGGGUGAGUAACGCGUAGGAACCUGUCAUCAAGAGGGGGAUAACGCUGGGAAACCGGCGCUAAUACCGCAUGUGGUCAUGAAAAUGAAGAAAGCAGCAAUGCGCUUGAUGAGGGGCCUGCGUCCGAUUAGCUUGUUGGUGGGGUAAAGGCCUACCAAGGCAUCGAUCGGUAGCUGGUCUGAGAGGAUGGUCAGCCACACUGGGACUGAGACACGGCCCAGACUCCUACGGGAGGCAGCAGUUAGGAAAUUUUCCCAAUGGGCGCAAGCCUGAGGGAGUAACGCCGCGUGGAGGAUGACGGCUUUCGGGUUGUAAACUCCUUUUCUGUGGAAGAGUAGAAGACGGUACCGCAGGAAUAAGCCUCGGCUAACUACGCGCCAGCAGCCGC
rnacentral:rRNA from 1 species